rnacentral:rRNA from 1 species
UACGUAGGGUGCGAGCGUUAAUCGGAAUUACUGGGCGUAAAGCGUGCGCAGGCGGUUCGUUAAGUUCGUUGUGAAAGCCCCGGGCUCAACCUGGGAACUGCAAUGGAAACUGGCGGGCUUGAGUGUGGCAGAGGGGGGUGGAAUUCCGCGUGUAGCAGUGAAAUGCGUAGAUAUGUGGAGGAACACCGAUGGCGAAGGCAGCCCCCUGGGUCAAAACUGACGCUCAUGCACGAAAGCGUGGGGAGCAAACAGG